rnacentral:miRNA from 1 species
ACAUUUUGUCUAUCUGAAA